rnacentral:rRNA from 1 species
UACGUAGGGUGCAAGCGUUGUCCGGAAUUAUUGGGCGUAAAGAGCUCGUAGGCGGUUUGUCGCGUCUGCUGUGAAAUCCCGAGGCUCAACCUCGGGCCUGCAGUGGGUACGGGCAAACUAGAGUGCGGUAGGGGAGAUUGGAAUUCCUGGUGUAGCGGUGGAAUGCGCAGAUAUCAGGAGGAACACCGAUGGCGAAGGCAGCUCGCUGGGACGUUACUGACACUGAGGCGCGAAAGCGUGGGGAGCGAACAGG